UACGUAGGGCGCAAGCGUUAUCCGGAAUUAUUGGGCGUAAAGAGCUCGUAGGCGGUUUGUCGCGUCUGCCGUGAAAGUCCGGGGCUCAACUCCGGAUCUGCGGUGGGUACGGGCAGACUAGAGUGAUGUAGGGGAGACUGGAAUUCCUGGUGUAGCGGUGAAAUGCGCAGAUAUCAGGAGGAACACCGGUGGCGAAGGCGGUUCUCUGGGCAUUACCUGACGCUCAGGCACGAAAGCGUGGGGAGCAAUCAGG
rnacentral:rRNA from 1 species